ensembl:misc_RNA 7SK 7SK RNA
GGAUGUGAGGGUCAUCUGGCUGUGACAUCUGUCACCCCAUUGAUCGCCAGGGUCAAUUUGGCUGAUCUGACUGGCCAGGCAGGUGUCCCCUUCCUCCCUCUCCACUCCAUGUGCGUCCCUCCCAAAGCUGCAUGCUCAGUUGAAGAGGACGACCAUCCCCGAUAGAGGAGGACCUGUCUUCAGUGAAGGGUAUAUGAGUAGCUGUGCUUCCCUGCUAGAACCUCCAAACAAGAUCAAGAGAAGCUCCAUUCGGAAAGACCUCAUGGAGAGUUGUAACCUAUAACUUGAUAUCAUAAACAUUUGAAUGAUCCACUGCAUUGUGGUAGUUUGACCCUGC